rnacentral:rRNA from 1 species
CAUUACCGAGUACCGGCGCUUUCGGGUGCCUACUCCCACCAAAUGUGAACCGAAUAACUGUUGCUUUGGCGGACCGGUAGUUCUCUACCCUCCGGCUCCGGCUGGGGAGCGUCCGCCGAAGAAUUUUUAAACCCGCUUAACCGUGGCAUCUGAGUCUUUAUGAAUAAAGUUAAAACUUUCAACAACGGAUCUCUUGGUUCUGGCAUCGAUGAAGAACGCAGCGAAAUGCGAUAAGUAAUGUGAAUUGCAGAAUUCAGUGAAUCAUCGAAUCUUUGAACGCACAUUGCGCCCUUUGGUAUUCCGAAGGGCAUGCCUGCUCGAGCGUCAUUUAAACUCUCAAGCCCCGCUUGGUGUUGGGUGCAGGUCCCUCACGAGACCCGCCCGUAACUAGUUGGCGGUACCGUUCGGCUUCAAGCGUAGCAAGAAUUUUCCCUCGCUUCAGAAGCUCCGGGCGGCGCCUGCCAGGGAAAAUCACACCCCUAAAGUUUG